rnacentral:lncRNA from 1 species
UCAAACCUUUAUAUAUAUAACUUCAGAAUUUCAUGUUGUGAUUUCUGCUACUAUAACUACUACUUCAAAUGUCAUGACACAAGCUUCAGGAAUGGGGUCUCAGCUGAGGAUGUCUUGACUUUCCUUUGUCGGGAGAUUGAACUUUACAUGGGCCAUCCCUUUUCUCUCAAUGCUGUCCAGGCACUUCCAGUGCCAGUGGAACCCAUUCACGAUGACAAGGAUUUUGACAGCCUGUUUCCACCAUCCACUGCUGUGCAAGCCUGUGCCUCUCCUGAGGAAUCAGCUAGACCCCCAUCAGCCUUCUUGGUUUUGAAUUCUCAGGAAAUGCCACAAGUCUGAUGUUUCAUAGAACAUGAGUGUAAAGAGCUGGGGUUUCUUCAAAGUUGCAAAUGAAGAUUUCUGCUGCUGUUAAUGUCAUGUAUCAGUCUCAAACCAUCCAGUUUUUCACUGAUUCCAAGAGAAAGAAAAUAGAUGAUGUUUUAGUCAAAUUCAAUAUUGAUGCUAUGCUUCCAUUGAAUAUCAUGAAGCAUGAAUCCUUUAAGAAGUUUGUUGAUGAGCUUGACAAACACUAUAGUCCUCCUGGAAAGAAAGGAAUUUUAAAUCAAAUCAUAGAAAUACAAAGAAGUGAAGUCAUUUCUUCAAGAUGACCUGUCAAAAACUAAUAAUGCAGCAAUUGCACACAAUGCAUAGACAUCAUUAAAUACAAAGCUAUGAUACAUUAAACGUUAGUAUAUUUCUCCAGAAUUGGAAUUAAAAACAGUAGUUUUGAUAACAGAACUGUUUCCAGGCUUCCAGGCAGGAGAAAAUGUUGCAGACAGCUGCUGAGAAAUGGAAUAUAGGUGAACAUAUUGUACUGACGGUUCAGCCAGUAUGUGCAGAAAGAAUGUACCGUAUUGAAUUGGACAUGUGUUAGUUGCUACAGGCAUUGUUUAAACUUAGUAGUGAUGAAUUCUGUCAUCAUUACAGAAGUAGCAAGGUUGGUAGGCAAGGGAAGAACUGUUGUGACUUGUUUCCACAAGGGCCUUUUUGUCACUGAAAUCCUCAUGUCUUAAGUUUCUGCUUAGACAUGAAACUUCUUCUUCCUGAAGCAUUGUAUGACCACAGGCUGAUAAAAGGUAUUCCCAGUUGGUGGAACAGUAUUUUGAACAUGCUGAAACUGUUUUCUGAGUAAACUUAAGCUUUACAUGUUACCGUAACUGAUUGUAUUUUUGGAAAAAGAGGGUGGGAAGUAUGAAUUAAACUGUUCACUUAUGAAAAGCUGGGUGUUGUAGAGUCCUUGAUAAAUGUGAGAGACCCUUGUGAGAUGGUUACUGAAUUGUUGUCUGCAGAGAAAGAACUGACACACAACUGGUCAUUCCAUGUAUACUUAAACAAGAAAGGGUAAUUUAAACGAAUGAAGAUGGCAAGCCUGUCAUUGUGAAGGUGAAAUCUGAGUUUAGAAAGCUAAUGAACCAUAGAAUGCAAGACAGGGAUGUGGUCUUGCUACUUUGUCACUUGUGUCCUUUUAUAAAUUGUCUACAAUUUAUUUCAAAGGAUGUACAGGAGAAAGCUGACUGUUUACUGUACAGUGAAGUAUGUGGAAUUACUUCUAAUGCUUCAGUGAAAAAAAGGAAUCAGAUGAACCCUUCAAUUCAUCCACAGAUAAUGUUCUUCCAACUUUACUUAUGGAUGAAUCGCUGUAUUCACCUUAUUCAAGAGAUAAAAAAACUAAAAUCAUAAAACUGUUCCUGGUACUAUAUUAUUUGUGAAAUAUCAUGUUAUGAAGUAGAUGGGUACCUUACACUUGACCUAGUUCAGGUUGAUCUGUCAAUCUUGUGGAAAGACAAUGAAAACACCUUUUUAAGAAUAGCCAUUGUUGCAAAGAAUAUCUAUUCAUCCGUGCUUCAAGUGUUUCAUCUGAGAGAAUCUUUAGUCUGGCUUUGUUUUGAUAAAAGGAUCACAGUUGAAACCAGAAAAUGUUGACUUUUAUUUUUGAAGAACUCUUUUAUGUCAACUGUGAAGAAGACUAACAACUGAUAGUUAAUUGAAAGUGAAAUGCCUAAAAGAUAAGUUUUUGAGUAUUCUAAUUAAUUUAAAAUGUCUAAAGUUUUUGUGAAUGCAUGUAUGUUCCAGUCACUAGUCGAUUAAAACUGAGAAAUUUAGAGUA